rnacentral:rRNA from 2 species
AUAUUAAUAAGCGGAGGAAAAGAAACUAACAAGGAUUCCCCUAGUAACGGCGAGUGAAGCGGGAAGAGCUCAAGCUUAAAAUCUCCGUGCAAGUUUUGUGCGGCGAAUUGUAGUCUAUAGAGGCGUGGUCAGCGUGGGCGCUUGGGGCAAGUUCCUUGGAAGAGGACAGCAUGGAGGGUGAUACUCCCGUUCAUCCCUGAGUGGCUCGUGCGUACGACCCGUUUUCUUUGAGUCGCGUUGUUUGGGAAUGCAGCGCAAAGUAGGUGGUAAAUUCCAUCUAAAGCUAAAUAUUGGUGCGAGACCGAUAGCGAACAAGUACCGUGAGGGAAAGAUGAAAAGAACUUUGAAAAGAGAGUUAAAGAGUACCUGAAACUGCUGAAAGGGAACCGAAUCGUUUCCAGUGUCUAUAAUCCGUGACAUAUUUCAUUGGCGAGUGUGUGCGUGCGUGUGCUGUGGCAGUGGCUUUUUUGGCUGCGCUCGGUGUGUGUGCUGUGUGUGCUUGCUGGUGCCCUGUGCUGCGGUGGGACGUCAAGGUCAGUUCUUAUGCUGCGGGAAAUGGCUGCCGAGGAGGUAGGGCUUACGCUUGCGUUUGUCUGUUAUAUCUUGGUGGACGAGUAGUCGCGGUUGGGACUGAGGUGCCUACAACGUGCUUUUGAGUGGGUUUGUGUCUCCGUGUGCGCCGUGUGCGGAUAGCUUGCUAUGCGUGUGUGGUUGUGUGUGGAUUGAUGCGGGCUUUAACUUGUUGCCGUUCGGGACGUUGACGAAAUGGAGCGAUCCGACCCGUCUUGAAACACGGACCAAGGAGUCUAACAUGUGU